GCGAGACUCUGUGGGGGUAGGACCCUCUGAGCCACGUGCCGGAUAUAAUCUCGUGGUGCGCCGUUUUUUUAAGCCGUUCGGAAAAGCACAGUAUUCGGGUGGGAGUGACCCGAUUUUCCAGGUGCGUCUGUCACCCCUUUCUUUCACUCAGAAAGGGAACUCCCUGACCCCUUGCGCUUCCCAAGUGAGGCAAUGCCUCGCCCUGCUUCGGCUCGCGCACGGUGCGCGCACCCACUGACCUUCGCCCACUGUCUGCCACUCCCAAGUGAGAUGAACCCGGUACCUCAGAUGGAAAUGCAGAAAUCACCUGUCUUCUGCGUCGCUCACGCUGGGAGCUGUAGACUGGAGCUGUUCCUAUUCGGCCAUCUUGGCUCCUCUCAGAUGAUAAAAUUCAGGCCAAGAGAAGCAAAGACAGCAAAGACUGACAUAAAAAAGAAACAACAAAAACAACUCUUGUUAAUGAUGUAGAAUUAAUCUGAAUUCUCCAAAAACCUGCCUCUUUUGGAGAUAGUGGUCUUGCAUUCCCUGAUGCUGAGAGACUGAGUCUAUAUAUUGAAGACUUCAUUUCACCAGCAGGUGCAAAUGUUCUACAUUUCAAAGCCAUCUGUGUUUUUUAAGUGAUUGAGGCCAAGAGUAAUCCAUAUUUAGUUGUUUUGACCAUUUAAACUAAGGUUUAUGUUAUUCUUUGACUUUAUCAAUGUACUAAUGUACAUAUUUUAUAUGCUGUACCAUGUAUAUCUGUGAAUAAAAAAAAAUACAUGUCACUGUCGUUCAAUUGUUUUUCUUUCAUUACUGCCCCCACCCAAAGGAAAUUUUUAGAUUUUUUUGAUUACUAUCACUGCUAGGUGACUUUUUAGGAUUUGGUUUUAUUAAAUACUAACACAUUUCAUUAAAUUUUAGUACCACAGAGAUGCUGUAUAUCUAUUUAUGUACUGUGGUCAUUUUGGAACAACAAAUUAUUAUCUAUCAUUUUUCCACUCCCCCAAAAGAAUCAAUGUUUACCCCCUUGUGGAUAAAUUAGAGGUUAAAAUAUCAU
rnacentral:lncRNA from 1 species